rnacentral:rRNA from 1 species
GACAGAGGUGCCGAGCGUUAGGCGGAAUCACUGGGCUUAAAGCGUGUGUAGGCGGGUCGUUAAGUGUCUUGUGAAAUCCCACCGCUCAACGGUGGAACUGCUGGGCAUACUGGCGAUCUUGAGCCACCUAGGGGCAGACGGAACAAGCGGUGGAGCGGUGAAAUGCGUAGAUAUCGCUUGGAACGCCGACGGUGAAAACAGUCUGCUGGGGUGUGCUGACGCUGAGACACGAAAGCCAGGGAGCGAACGGG